GCCUUCGUGGUGUAAUGGUCAGCACACUGAGCCGGUAUUCCAGAGGUCCGCGGUUCGAUCCCCGGCGAAGGCA
rfam:Stegodyphus mimosarum contig19026, whole genome shotgun sequence.